rnacentral:rRNA from 1 species
GACGGAGGGUGCAAGCGUUGUUCGGAAUUACUGGGCGUAAAGCGCGUGUAGGCGGGUCGUUAAGUCAGGGGUGAAAUGCCAAGGCUCAACCUUGGAACUGCCUUUGAUACUGGAGACCUUGAGUCCGGGAGAGGUGAGUGGAACUGCGAGUGUAGAGGUGAAAUUCGUAGAUAUUCGCAAGAACACCAGUGGCGAAGGCGGCUCACUGGCCCGGAACUGACGCUGAGACGCGAAAGCGUGGGGAGCAAACAGG